UGUUUUUAAUGUUGAACCUGUUAUAAGCCUUGACUCUGGGCAAAUUCACUUGCCGUAGGAUGGCUGCAUAAUGGAAUUCUUCCAAAUAUCUGACUGGAAAAGAUUUGGGAACCUAGUUCAGUUCCCAGAUCUUUGACCCAUUUCCUACAGAAGAGCCAUCCAAGAGGUGUCAGAGGAGCAAACAAUACCACCUCUCCUGGGCUCAAAGGUCACUGCUAGGAUUUAGAGCCAAAAUGUCCCCCAAAGCCAGAUAUGUUCAGAGCGAGGCUUUUGGAAGGUGGCUGGUUCAUGAGAGUGCUAACCUCAUCCACGGAUUAACCUACUAAAGAGUUCCUAACUAUGAACGUCCUGUUACGAGGUGAGGUCUGGUUGGAGGAAGCAGGUCACCGGGGACAUAACCCAGAAGAGUCUACUCUUUUCCGCAGCCCCUCUCUGGCUCUCUUCCUGUUCUUCUCUACUUCCCGGCCGCUACACAGUGAGCAGCUUCCCUUCACCAUCCCCUUCCAGUAUGAUGCUUACGCCUCAGAGCCUGCCAACCACACACUGGAACCUCUGAAACUGUGAGCUGAAAUAAAUGUCUCUUCGCUUAAACUGACUUUCUGAGAUAAGACCUUCUGAAAAGCACUGGGUCCCUUGGAGUUCUUGAAUUGUAGCACUGGAUACAGUACUUGAUAUCUGACACUCAAGGACAAAAUCAUCUUCUCCAGGGCUCCCGGCAGAAUGACAGACUCAGGCCAUUCCAUCCAACCUCACCCACCUGCCCAACACAUUCUGGAAUAAAGCACCACUAGACCAUCCUCACAGCUCAAGCCUCUUAUUUUCUGGGUAGCAUCUUUUCAUCCUCAACAGAAAUAUCCAAGAACAAAUAAAUCUACUGCUAGAAGUUAA